UGGGGAAUAUUGCACAAUGGGCGCAAGCCUGAUGCAGCCAUGCCGCGUGUAUGAAGAAGGCCUUCGGGUUGUAAAGUACUUUCAGCGGGGAGGAAGGGAGUAAAGUUAAUACCUUUGCUCAUUGACGUUACCCGCAGAAGAAGCACCGGCUAACUCCGUGCCAGCAGCCGCGGUAAUACGGAGGGUGCAAGCGUUAAUCGGAAUUACUGGGCGUAAAGCGCACGCAGGCGGUUUGUUAAGUCAGAUGUGAAAUCCCCGGGCUCAACCUGGGAACCGCAUCUGAUACUGGCAAGCUUGAGUCUCGUAGAGGGGGGUAGAAUUCCAGGUGUAGCGGUGAAAUGCGUAGAGAUCUGGAGGAAUACCGGUGGCGAAGGCGGCCCCCUGGACGAAGACUGACGCUCAGGUGCGAAAGCGUGGGGAGCAAACA
rnacentral:rRNA from 1 species